UUUUGGUAUAAAAAUAAAAAUAAAUGAAAAUAGUAUGAGAAGCUCUUUUUAUUGGAUUUAGAGAAGUAAAAUAUAAGUCAUAAAUGACUUGAGCUGAAAUCGGAAUGAAAACAUAAGAUUUAGAAAUUUUCUAUUGGAAACAGGACCGAUAAAUUAGCAGAAAAUGUAUAGUCUCAGAAAAUUAUGAAAAUUGGAGGAUGAGUCAGAAAUAUUUUUAUGAAGCUAGAUUUAAGGUUUCAUAUUUUUCUGACACCUGUAGAGUGAGAAAUAAAAUCCGACAGUUAUCAGAUAAAGAUUACAGUUUGGUACAAUUUUCGGUGACCAAACGGGGUCGAAACUGAAAUGUUAAAAUUUCUUUGGACUUAUUAAGUAAAACCGAGCUUGCCUGUCAAAUUUGAGCUCAAACGGACAUUCAGAAGGGCUCCGGCGAAAAAUGUUAGUUUCUAAACUGCCCGAAGUAAAUAGUGCAUAGUUGAGGGACUAAGUUGUAAAAAGGGGUUUAAUCCUUUUUCUUCUUCUCCUUCCUCAGCCGCAGCAGCCCCAAACCGCACACACACAUACGCAUACACACACGCAUGGAAGGGAGAGAGAAAACUUCCAUUUCUCUCUCUAAAUCUCUCCCAAAAUUAAAGAAAUUGGUGGAGAUUGAAGCUUGGAAGUGAAUCAUCUUUAUUUUCUCCAUCUUCUCCAUGGUUUGAAGCAAGUUUUGAGGUAAGCUUUUUGAGCCCUCUCAUGGUAGAUCUCUAGAUAUGUGGUUUUGAUCUCUAGAAAUGGAUUUAGAGGAAUCCUAGCAUGCUAUCUAGAUGAUUGAUGCUUAAUUUGUGAAGGGAUUUGGUGAUAUCUUGCAUAGUCGUAACCUAGGGUUCAGAAUGCAAUUUUUGGAAAUAGUUGGGUUUGAUCUCAAUUAACCCUCCGUAAACCUAAUUGCUAGGUAACGAAACGCGUUUGCGAAGACGGUUCGGCAAUCCGACGAGCCGUUACAAAGUUAUUAAAGAAACGGACGUUUAGGCUUCGUUUCCGCCUGGAGGGCCGAGUCGACGUCGUAAAAUCGUGAAAACAGGUUUGAAGCACCGUGGCACAUAACCGAAAACCUUUAAUUUUCGGAUCACAAAUCGGAGAUCGUUUGGGUGGUCGUGCGAGAGUUCGAGCCAAACUGGGUCGCGGGUGUCGCGGGCGGCCAAUUGCAAGUGACUACAAGCAAUCGGAGAGUAAGUUAAGGUGGGUUGUGUUUACCGAAGCGACUAGGUCGCCUUUUAUGUCUAAGAAAUAUACGAAUUCAUAUUGAUGCACGUUAAUAAAAUGACAUAGCUAAUGCAUAUGGACAAUGUGAUGCAAACUGCUAAGUAGAUGCAUAUGAAAUGAUGUAAUAUAGAAAUGCUUAUUGACAUAACGACAUAGUCUAGAAAUGCUAAAUGUAAUGUGCAUGUUAAUAUGAUAAGAAACCAUGCUAGUGAUAUUUGCAUGAUAAUGCAUUGAUAGUACAUGCUAGUAAGUAAAUGCAUAUUAAUACAUAUGUGUAUAAUGAGCAUGUUGGAUAAGAUUCGUGUACAUGUAGACUCGAGAUAACAAUAGGAUGUCAAGUAGAUCGAGUGGCACUUAACCUAGUGUUAAAGAACAUAGGUUGUGAAUGAAUCUAGAGUCAUGUGAACUAGAUCGAGUGGCAUCUAACCUAGUGUUAAAGAACAUAGGUUGAGAAUGAACCUAGAGUUAAUCGAAUCUAGGUGUGUGGUAUUAACCUAGUGUCGAGAACAUAGGUUAAGAAUUGAGCCUAGAGUUAAAGUAAACCUAGGAUACGUGAUAAAGGCAUUGAACCUAGAGUCAGUUGGACCUAGGGUGAAAAGGACACUGGACCUAGAUAUGUCGAUACUAUAGGGUUUGAGACCAACCCUUGAGUCGUGAAAUGGAUUCUGGAAUCCCUAGUGAAGUGGCCGCAAAGGAAGCGGUGGUACUUGUGGUAAAAGAGAUGGCAAGCGAAUCAUAACUGCAGGUAUGUGUGGUUCUCAUCGCUUGGCAGUGAUUCAACGGGUAUGUGUGGUUCUCCUCACCCGGGAUGCCAUGAGAAUAAGCUGGAAUUGGGUAUAUGUGGUUCUCCUCGCCCAUUAGCUUAUCAGAUGAUGCCGCCUAGAUUGACUUGAACCAUUGCUGGGUGAGAGCGAGUAGCCGCUGCCAAAUGAGUAAGCCAUGACUUGAGCCAUUGUUGGGUGUGAUGCGAUGAGUUCGCCGCCAGGUGGCUAAGUCAUGACUUGAGUCAUUGUUGGGUCGAUGCGAUGAAUUCGCUACCAGAUGGUUAAGUCAGAGGUGCGGUAGGCUGUGACGGCAGCCAGGCUGAGAUGCAGCCAGUGUGCGGACUAUCCGCGGAUGAUUGACUCGAGGCCGAGUUGGGUGGUUAGCUUGAUUAGGUUAAUAGAAACCUUAUAAGCUAGUGAUAAAGGUAAAA
rnacentral:lncRNA from 1 species